GACGAACGCUGGCGGUGUGCUUAACACAUGCAAGUCGUGCGACGAACCAGACUUCGGUCUGGGGCAAAGCGGCGAACGGGUGAGUAACACGUGGGUAAUCUGCCCCGAUGACUGGGACAACCCGAGGAAACUCGGGCUAAUACCGGAUGUGGUGCCUGGACUCAAGUCCGGUCACUAAAGGUAGCUUCGGCUUCCGCAUUGGGAGGGGCCCGCGGCCCAUUAGCUUGUUGGUGGGGUCAAGGCCUACCAAGGCAACGAUGGGUAGCUGGUCUGAGAGGACGAUCAGCCACACUGGGACUGAGACACGGCCCAGACUCCUACGGGAGGCAGCAGUGGGGAAUCUUGCGCAAUGCGCGAAAGCGUGACGCAGCAACACCGCGUGAGGGAAGACGGCCUUAGGGUUGUAAACCUCUUUCAGAUGGGACGAAGGUGAUGCGGUGAAUAGCCGAUGUCAUUGACGGUACCGUCAGAAGAAGCUCCGGCUAACUACGUGCCAGCA
rnacentral:rRNA from 1 species